rnacentral:rRNA from 1 species
CCCUUAGAUGUCCUGGGCCGCACGCGCGCUACACUGAUGCAUGCAACGAGUUUAUAACCUUGGCCUGAAAGGUCUGGGUAAUCUUUUGAACGUGCAUCGCGAUAGGGAUAGAUUAUUGCAAUUGUUAAUCUUGAACGAGGAAUUCCUAGUAAACGCGAGUCAUCAGCUCGCAUUGAUUACGUCCCUGCCCUUUGUACACACCGCCCGUCGCACCUACCGAUUGAAUGGUUCGGUGAAGAUCUCGGACUUCGAUAUUUAUUCUUUAUUGAGUUUAUAUUGUGGGAAGUUAUCUAAACCUCAUCAUUUAGAGGAAGGUGAAGUCGUAACA